rnacentral:rRNA from 1 species
GACGAACGCUGGCGGCGUGCCUAAUACAUGCAAGUAGAACGCUGAAGAGAGGGGCUUGCUCUUCUUGGAUGAGUUGCGAACGGGUGAGUAACGCGUAGGUAACCUGCCUUGUAGCGGGGGAUAACUAUUGGAAACGAUAGCUAAUACCGCAUAACAAUGGAUGACACAUGUCAUUUAUUUGAAAGGGGCAAUUGCUCCACUACAAGAUGGACCUGCGUUGUAUUAGCUAGUAGGUGAGGUAAUGGCUCACCUAGGCGACGAUACAUAGCCGACCUGAGAGGGUGAUCGGCCACACUGGGACUGAGACACGGCCCAGACUCCUACGGGAGGCAGCAGUAGGGAAUCUUCGGCAAUGGGGGCAACCCUGACCGAGCAACGCCGCGUGAGUGAAGAAGGUUUUCGGAUCGUAAAGCUCUGUUGUAAGUCAAGAACGGGUGUGAGAGUGGAAAGUUCACACUGUGACGGUAGCUUACCAGAAAGGGACGGCUAACUACGUG